rnacentral:rRNA from 1 species
CGGGUGAGUAUCGCGUAAGUUAUCUGCCCCUGGGUCUGGCAUAACGUCGGGAAACCGGCGCUAAUUCCAGAUGAUACCGCAAGGUCAAAGAAUUUCGCCCAGGGAUGAGCUUGCGUCUGAUUAGCUAGUUGGCGGGGUAAUGGCCCACCAAGGCGACGAUCCGUAGCUGGUCUGAGAGGAUGAUCAGCCACACUGGGACUGAGACACGGCCCAGACUCCUACGGGAGGCAGCAGUGGGGAAUAUUGGACAAUGGGCGCAAGCCUGAUCCAGCCAUGCCGCGUGAGUGAUGAAGGCCUUAGGGUUGUAAAGCUCUUUCAGUGGGGAAGAUAAUGACGGUACCCACAGAAGAAGCCCCGGCUAACUUCGUGCCAGCAGCCGCGGUAAUA